UGGGGAAUCUUGCGCAAUGCGCGAAAGCGUGACGCAGCAACGCCGCGUGGGGGAAGAAGGCUUUCGGGUUGUAAACCCCUUUCAGUUGGGACGAAGCUUCGCCGGUGAAUAGCCGGCCGGAGUGACGGUACCUUUAGAAGAAGCACCGGCUAACUACGUGCCAGCAGCCGCGGUAAUACGUAGGAUGCAAGCGUUAUCCGGAUUCAUUGGGUUUAAAGGGAGCGUAGGCGGCCCUAUAAGUCAGUGGUGAAAUCUCUCGGCUUAACCGAGAAAUUGCCAUUGAUACUGUAGGGCUUGAGUACAGUUGCCGUUGGCGGAAUAUGACAUGUAGUGGUGAAAUACAUAGAGAUGUCAUAGAACACCGAUUGCGAAGGCAGCUAACGAAACUGUAACUGACGCUGAGGCUCGAAAGGGCGGGGAUCAAACAG
rnacentral:rRNA from 1 species